rnacentral:rRNA from 1 species
GUCUACAGCCCUACCACCUUGAACUUGCCUGAUCUUGUCUGAUCUCGGAAGCUAAGCAGGUUCAGGGCUGGUUAGUACUUGGAUGGGAGAUUAUGAAGGCAAAGACGCUCACCGUGAAGU